GUGACAUACCACUUGUUGCCUCGGCGGAUCAGCCCGCUCCCGGUAAAACGGGACGGCCCGCCAGAGGACCCCUAAACUCUGUUUCUAUAUGUAACUUCUGAGUAAAACCAUAAAUAAAUCAAAACUUUCAACAACGGAUCUCUUGGUUCUGGCAUCGAUGAAGAACGCAGCAAAAUGCGAUAAGUAAUGUGAAUUGCAGAAUUCAGUGAAUCAUCGAAUCUUUGAACGCACAUUGCGCCCGCCAGUAUUCUGGCGGGCAUGCCUGUUCGAGCGUCAUUUCAACCCUCAAGCACAGCUUGGUGUUGGGACUCGCGUUAAUUCGCGUUCCCCAAAUUGAUUGGCGGUCACGUCGAGCUUCCAUAGCGUAGUAGUAAAACCCUCGUUACUGGUAAUCGUCGCGGCCACGCCGUUAAACCCCAACUUCUGAAUGUUGACCUCGGAUCAGGUAGGAAUACCCGCUGAACUUAAGCAUAUCAA
rnacentral:rRNA from 1 species